rnacentral:rRNA from 1 species
UACGUAGGGUGCAAGCGUUGUCCGGAAUCAUUGGGCGUAAAGAGCGCGUAGGCGGCCCUGUAAGUCCGCUGUGAAAGUCAAGGGCUCGACCCUUGGAUGCCGGUGGAUACUGCAGGGCUAGAGUCCGGAAGAGGCGAGUGGAAUUCCUGGUGUAGCGGUGAAAUGCGCAGAUAUCAGGAGGAACACCGGUGGCGAAGGCGGGUCUCUGGGCAACAACUGACGCUGAGGAGCGAAAGCGUGGGGAGCGAACAGG